CAGGCCACCAUGCAGGCCUAUAAUCUACUCAUACACCCAGCUUUCUCCGUAAUGGCUUUAUUCUUUUCCUCCAAGGUUCAAAAUCACCAUGACUUCUCCCCCGCGGGGGGCAGUGGAGGGGGGAACUGACUCUGAAUCAUAAAUCCUGACUCCCAAAUAUUGGCCAUAAUUGGGAAGGUGAGAGGUAUCUCAUAUGUCUGGGUGGAAGAGUCUCCUUUCUCCCUGGUGAUUCAUUUUCAGAACACAUGGCCAUCUUUCCAAUGGCUUUGAGUUUCACAUCACCACUGGAAAGACCUGCCAGUUUCUUCCUGUAUGCCUGUCCACUGCCAUGCUACUCACAGGAUGGUGGCUUAUGGGCACUCACUCACCCUUCAACAUGACUUGUUCACUCCAGUUCUCCCUUUCCAAAUGUUCUCAAUCCCCUGGUCCAUGCCCCAAGGGGGAUUCGGCUUUGCCCACCAGCUAUGUUCUGAAUAUUUGUGUCUUCCCCAAAUUAAUAUGUUGAAACUUAAUCACAAAUGUGAUGGUGUAAGAAGGUGGGGACUUUGGGACUUUAUUAGGUCAUGGAGGGGGAACCUCAUAAAAGAGGCUGCCUUGCCCCCUCCAUCAUGUGAAGCACCAUCUGUGAACCAGGAAAUGGGCUCUCACCAGACACUGAUCCUGCUGGUUCCUUGAUCUCAGACUUUUCGGUAUCCGGAACUGUGGGAUACACAUUGCUGUUGUUUAUGAGCCACCCAGUUUAAGGUGUUUUGUUACAGCAGCCCAAAGGGACUAGGCCACCACCAUAGUCAGGGAAGAGCUGGCUGAUUUGUGCGUGUCUGUGCUGUGUCCCAAUGAAAGCACAAUAAUCAAUGAACAUUGAUUCUGCAAUCGAUGUUUGAAGGUCAAAGGAGUUGGGAAAGGGGGUCUCCUGAAGCCAAAGAAAAGCAUUGUACUCCCCAAAACUGUGCCAGCCAGGUUUACCUUUCACAAGAUGCUACAGAUUGAGAUGCGUUGGUUUUACUUCUGGCUCUUUAAGCCCCACUCAAGCUCUAAUUUUGAUAUCUCCUUCAAGACACCUUAGUUUGGGCCCCUCCCAGGCUCCCUUCUGUUUUUGUUCUUUUUUUCUAACAUCAUCCUUGGCUUUUCUUCUCUUUUAGGUUUGACCUCCUGUCUCUUGGGUUGAGAAACCGUCCGCUCUGACUCCUGGCCUACUGUGACCCCUCCAAAGCCCUCUGUACAGGUCUUUGGUCACACAGAGACUCAACAAUCUAAUAAUCUAAAAUUGUAAAUGCCA